rnacentral:snRNA from 1 species
GUGAUCGCUUCGGCAGCCCAUAUCCUACAAUUGGAACGAUGCAGAGAUUAGCAUGGCUCCUAAGCAAGGAUGACACGCACAUUCGUGAAGUGUUCCAUAUUUAA